GAAGGAUAUGUAAUAAAAAGUAAUUGUUCUGUGUUCCUCUGUCCUCUACCACCAGUCCCUGAACCUGGAGGCGAAUCUUUUACAUAUGUCUCUUUUAGUUCUUCUGGUGGCUACUUCCAUUUCUUUUAAUAAUAUACCCUUCCUACUACUUUUUUAUAUAAUACCUUCAGGUAUUUUUUAUUAAUUUCCUGCUACUCUCCCCUGCUCAUCUCCACUCUUUGUAUGUUCAUGUCACUAUUUUUAGUUCCUGAAUUGGCUACUUUUUUAACUUAAUAUAAUACUCACACUUCUUUUUCUUUCUUUCUUUCUUCCUUUCUUUCUUAACUUAAUAUAAUACUCUUUCUUUCUGUCUUUCUGUCUGUCUGUCUUUCUUUCUUUUCUUGAAACAGAGUCCUACUCUGUUGCCCAGGCUGGAGUGUAGUGGCAUGAUCACAGCUCACUACAGCCUUCACCUCCUGGACUCCCACCUACGCCUCCUGAGUAGCUGGGACUACAGGCAUGCACCACCACACCCAGUUAAUUUUUGUAUUUUUUGUAGAAUUUGGGUUUGCCAUGUUGCCCAGGUUGGUCUCAAACUCCUGCGCUCAAGCAAUCUGCCCACCUCAGCCUCCUGGAGUGCUGGGACUACAGGCAUGAGCCACCACGCCCAGCUCCAAACUUCUUUCUAUUAAUAAUUGUCUCAAAUAUAUAUAUUAUCCUUUGAAUUUUUCCUAUACAAGAGGGGGAUAAUAAGGCUGGUCCAAGUGCAGUGAUGUUUACAACUAAUUAAUCACAGAUUUCUUUGUCCCUUCUCCACUCCCACUGGUUCACUUGAGUAGCCUUUAAAAAAUAAUAAAAAUAAAAAAUAAAAUAAAGUUUAAAAUAAAUAAAUAAGAAGAAGAUUAGGAUAAUAGGACCUCCAACAUUCCAUUUACAUUCCCUUCUUAUCUUCUGUCAAUAACUCCCACAUGGUCCAGGUGGAUAACAUUUAUAUUCUAUUCUGUAACCAUAACUAUAUCAUCCAUGUUUUGCCUAUAAAUUGAUUUCAAAGUUGAAACUAUAAACAGGAUUUAUAUUAUGAUUAUUGACUAUUUUAAUAUUGUUCAAUGAAGACU
rnacentral:lncRNA from 10 species